rnacentral:rRNA from 1 species
CCUACGGGGGGCAGCAGUGAGGAAUAUUGGUCAAUGGCCGUAAGGCUGAACCAGCCAAGUAGCGUGAGGGAAGACUGCCCUAUGGGUUGUUAACCUCUUUUAUGCGGGGAUAAAGGUGUCCACGUGUGGAUGUUUGCAGGUACCGCAUGAAUAAGGACCGGCUAAUUCCGUGCCAGCAGCCGCGGUAAUACGGAGGGUCCGGGCGUUAUCCGGAUUUAUUGGGUUUAAAGGGAGCGUAGGCCGGUCUUUAAGCGUGCCGGGAAAUGUUGGGGCUCAACCAGGGGAGGGCGGUGCGAACUGGAGACCUUGAGUGCGCGGAAGGCAGGCGGAAUUCGUGGUGUAGCGGUGAAAGGCUUAGAUAUCACGAAGAACCCCGAUUGCGAAGGCAGCCUGCCGCAGCGUUACUGACGCUGAGGCACUAAAGCGCGGGUAUCGAACAGGAUUAGAUACCCUUGUAGUC